GAUGAACGCUGGCGGCGUGCCUAAUACAUGCAAGUCGAGCGAACAGACGAGGAGCUUGCUCCUCUAACGUUAGCGGCGGACGGGUGAGUAACACGUGGAUAACCUACCUAUAAGACUGGGAUAACUUCGGGAAACCGGAGCUAAUACCGGAUAAUAUAUUGAACCGCAUGGUUCAAUAGUGAAAGACGGUUUUGCUGUCACUUAUAGAUGGAUCCGCGCCGCAUUAGCUAGUUGGUAAGGUAACAGCUUACUAAGGCAACGAUGCGUAGCCGACCUGAGAGGGUGAUCGGCCACACUGGAACUGAGACACGGUCCAGACUCCUACGGGAGGCAGCAGUAGGGAAUCUUCCGCAAUGGGCGAAAGCCUGACGGAGCAACGCCGCGUGAGUGAUGAAGGUCUUCGGAUCGUAAAACUCUGUUAUUAGGGAAGAACAAAUGUGUAAGUAACUAUGCACGUCUUGACGGUACCUAAUCAGAAAGCCACGGCUAACUACGUG
rnacentral:rRNA from 1 species